ensembl:lncRNA novel transcript, sense overlapping TDRD5
GAGAUAAGAGGGUUACAAAUCAUUGUACAUGGAAAAUAUUCCCAGCAGUAAACACUUCCAUUAAUGUGAUCUACAGCUUUUAAAAAGGAGCAUCUCAGAAUAAGAUGGUGGUACAAUUUGCUUGUUAAAAUUGAGAAAAAAUAGACACAUUGGAAUAUAUUAGAAAGGGAAAAGAAGGAAUGUGAUUUCUUCUGAUUGAAAGCAUGAUUUAGAUCAGAUACAGUUUUUGCUAACCAAGACCAAGGGGCUCUGGCAAGACAGGGUGGUUUUCCGAAUGCCAGACCGAGGUGCCUUACGAAGGCAGCUGCCGAUGGUUCUGUGGCACAGACUGGCUCCUGAGAACCCAGACGACCUUGACCCUGCACCCCCGCCCUCCAUGCUAGUACCUCGUCUGAUUCCCAUCGCCACAGUAUCCAGCUGCUUGAGACAUCAGCUGCCUUCAGUGGUGGUAGUCAAACAUAGUCAGCCAAACCAUGGCAUCCCUUAGGUUAAAAGAAAACGGGGCAGCUUUGCCCAGAGCCUGUUGGCACUGUGGGCGGGGGAGAGGGUUGGGGGAGAGAGAAGGGUUGUCACGAUGGAAGAUGAGGACACUAGUCUCAUGUAGCACAGAAACACGAAGUCACAUGCGCUGGCAGCCUCCGGGGUGCUCCUUGCUGUCAUAUAUUAAACCUUACAUUUUAUAAGAAAAAAAAAAGAAGGAAGAUAAGGUCAUUGUGUGUGCUUAAGCCUCUUUGUUGAUUCAAAUUCUUUGGUUAUUUUGGUUUGUCUUGUUUCUUUAAUUAGACUGUACAUUUUAAGGUACAAGUCUUUAUAUUAUACAAUGCCCCUCCCUAUUCUAUAUCUCUUAAACUACUGUUUUCUGGUUUUCAAGGACUUUAUAAAUCUGGCUCAUUCUACCAAACCAACUAUACAUCCAAAUAAAUCUCUAGUGGCA